rnacentral:misc_RNA from 1 species
GAUGAAGAACGUAGCGAAAUGCGAUACGUAAUGUGAAUUGCAGAAUUCAGUGAAUCAUCGAAUCUUUGAACGCAUAUUCCGCUCUCUGGUAUUCCGGAGAGCAUGCUUGUUUGAGUAUCAGUAAACACCUCAACUUCCAUAUCUUUUUUGAAAUGGGAGUUGGACUUGAGUGAUCCCAACGCUUUUCCUCACCGAAAAGUGGCGGGUUACUUGAAAUGCAGGUGCAGCUGGACUUUUCUCUGAGCUAUAAGCAUAUCUAUUUAGUCUGCCUAAAAAACAGAUUAUUACCUUUGCUGCAGCUAACAUAAAGGAGAUUAGUUCUUGUGCUGACUGAUGCAGGAUUCACAAAGACAGGCUUCGGCCGACUUUGUAAACUCGAUCUCAAAUCAAGUAAGACUACCCGCUGAACUUAAGCAUAUCAAUAAGCGGAGGA